rnacentral:lncRNA from 1 species
GUUUAGACCCCACCUGAGGAGCUGUACAUAACAAAAGCCCUCAAUGCCACUAAACCAAUGGGAGAGGGCAGUGCGGGGGAAGUAAAAAAGCCAUUCUUGUGGCCCCCUCCCGGCUUCCUGGAAGCUGCAGUGUGCCUGAUGGGACAGGCAUGUUCCUGGCUACACUGUAGCUGAGCAAAAGGUCUCUGCAUACAGAAGACCAGGAGACCAUAAGUUCACCAUCAAAGAAAAGUCUGCAGCUGGUAGGUUGAGCCUGAAUAAUAAUACAUGCCACAACUCACUGCUGUUCAACUCAUUCCUCAGCUGGGUUCACUGACUUGUGUACCUCAAAAUGCUAUGUUUUGCUGUCUCUUCCCG